UUUUUGUAUUAAUUAAUUUUUUGGACAUAAUGUUUUAGUUUAGAUAUUUUUUUAUUAUAUAAGGUAACAUUUUAAGCUGUCAUUUGGUCAUGUUAAUCUUAAUGCGCCUCACCUUUGGGGCAUGUUGUCACAAUUCACUUCUAAGAAAAAAGUAUCCUAUAGGCUAUAGAAAUUAUAAGGACUCACCUUUUCGUUUCAUGAGAUAGGCCUAGCAUUUGCGAUCUGAUUUGUUUUUGCCAGUUCUCAGUUAUUAAAGUCUAUAUAGUUAUUUUGAGAUAAAUGCUUAUAAAUAUGUAUUUAUUGAAUUAUUUUAUUUAGUGAUCUAUCAGUUCAUCAGAUCUUCUAUGAUGUGUGGGCACACAUCGACAGAAACAUUGGAAACAUCAAAUUAAAUGCGCUGAGUUUGAAAUUGUAAAUCACACGUCAUUCACAUUCUACCGCUUAUUGUUGACUAUUUAUAGGCCUACACCCCUAAAUGUUCCCGUUUCUUCCCGCCCGGUAUUUUAUCAAAAAUGGCAGUAACAACCAAAAGUGUUUAGAAAUAUUUUGAGAAAACCAUUAAAAUUAUUCCACACAGGGGCGUAACUACAGACAGUGCAGGCAGUGCAGCCAAGGGGGCCCAUCGUAAUAGCCUGCACUGGGGCCCAUCAUUAUUAAGUUACGCCACUGAUCGCAGCGUUUAUCCAAUGACCGUCUAGUUUCGAAGCGCUGAAAAAAACCGUUCAAAGCAGCCCCAUUGAAGUCAAUGGACGCUGGGCUUCAAUAGGGAAAUGCACUGUGACGCUGCGGGAAUGUAUGAGAAGGAAAUCGAGUCAGCCGACCUGCUAUAUGUAACUGAUUCUGAACGAACUCGUCUUUGAGAUGAACGUUUUCUAACGCAUUUUUAGUCAAUAAAAUGUUAAUACAAUAGUACAUAUUUGACCAUUAAUUUUGUGACAUUAUAAGGGAAGCCGAGCUUCCCUUGCAGUCUUAAAGAAAUCGCCACUGGUAGGGACAGGGUGAGCACUAAAUUUUCGGGCAGGAAUGUUGUUCCAGGAUCAACAAAAUAUGUUCAUCCAGGAAUAUGGCAAAAUCAGCAUGACAGUAUGUCACUGGGCACAUCUGUUUUCUUCAGCUGUCCACUUAUCACAAAUGGCAACACUGUGUCAAAAAGAUAACAUGGAAGCAUGUGAUAAACAUUGUGAUUCCUGUGUGAUUAUACUUCAGUUUCACAUUAAAAGCUCUGUCUAAAUGUACCUUGUCAUAAUGUUUAUAUGGACUUUGCAGUGUGAAGUGGCAAACACGUGUUUUUUGACUCUGUCAUCCAAUUUUAUUUAGAAAGAUGCAACACCACAAACAGACUUUUAGUUGUACUUUUGAUUAGUCAGUUUAUUUAUACAAAAGUGAAGUUAAUUCUGAGUGUACUCAUCAGAUAUAGUAGAUAUAAAUGCUUUCUACCAGUCUGUCAUUUUUUCCCAGUAAUGAUUUUUUUCCCCCCCAUGUGACAUCAUUAAGCUUAUAUACUGUAACCUAUCCACUGACAGGUAGUUUACCUUUAUGAGAAUGCACUAAUAAUGUACAUGAAUGUAUACUGGUGAAAUUAGAGUUAUUUUUUGAACAAAACCAGCAACUUGUGGCAUGGAGGGAUCAUAAAUAAACAAAAAACUGGAGCUAAAAGAUCAAGACUUUUUGACAACGCAUUUUGGCACACGUGGCCUUCGUCAGAGCUAAAAGGUUACAGGUGUGUGUAGGUUCCUUUAAGUACAAACAGAGGCUGCGUCCGAAACCGCCUACUUCUCUACUAUUUAGUAGGGGAAAAGCAGUAGGCGAGCGAAUAAGUAUGUUCGAAGCAAAAAGAGUAGGCGAAAAUUACCUGGGUGACGUAAUAAUUCUCGCGAGAUUCGGACAUGCGCCUACUUAAAGUGCGUCCGAAACCGCCUACUUACCUACUUUAUAAUAGGGAAAGCAGUAGGCGAGCGAAUAAGUAUGUCAGAGACCUCAGUAAUCAUAAAAUAGUAGUCGAGGAGUUCCCGGAUGAUCUACUACUUCCGCCCAGAUUCUGAAGUAUUCCUCGCUGGAUACAUUUCUAUCCCAGGAGGCCACGGGAGAGGAUACGUCAUAAACAAACACGGAGGAGAAAAGUGCCGCGGAUGCUGUCAAAUGUGAGUAUUGAAAACCAAAAACACGUUUCUUGAACUACUGUAGAGUAAACUGCUGAAUGUGUGAAGAUGCUAGUUGUGAUUUUACUGUAAAAACACGAUUAUGUAGGCUAUAGAUAACGGAUUCUUUAGUAAACACACAUAACUUAAUCUCCAAAGAGGAUCUACAUAUUCUAAACCAUAUCUUAAACAUGUUUACUAAAUGUUUAUUUAACAUCUGACACGAACAUCUCCUUUAAUAUGAUGACUUAUGAGAGAUGGAUUAUGAGUGAUGUUUGUGUGCUAUUAAUCACUGUUGUCAAGACUGUUUACAUUACAUGAAUGAAAAUAAUGUAAAUAAAUCUACAGAAACUACACAAGUUUAAUCUAUUUUAUUUGUCCAUUAACUGUUAAUAAAAUAAGUAUUGGUUAAGAAGUGAGUUAACACAUCAUCAACAUGUGAAUGUAGAUUUGAGCUCAUAAAUCUCAGAGGAAACUUGAAUCUUGUCUGAUGUUACAGGGACAGAUGAGCACACGUGUGUUUAUCCAGUAGAGGAAUGAUGCCAUCAAAGGCUUUGAGUGAGGAUACUACAGAAAUGAAUACAAAGUUUAUUUAAAUCUAAAGUCUAGUGUAUUUUAAUUAUUGUAAUUUAAAGUUAUUACAGCACUUUUCUGGCUCUUGAUGUCUGUAUGUUUGCUGCAGAGCUUUUGUGGAGCAGGACCUGCAAGAAAACCUGACGGUGGCAUUUGUUAGAAAAAAAAGAGGAAAACCCUAAACAAAAUAUAAAGAUGUGAAUGUCCUCAGACUGGUGUGAGCACUGAGGAUGGAGAGCCACAGCAGAUCCUGGAAAUGGUUCAGUGUCAUGGACGAGACCCUCCAUCACUCCUCCUUUCAAGUGACUCGAUCAAGGACACACUGGAGGAGAUGCUGCAGAGAUCGAACCAGCAACCUUCUGCUGACCAGCUCAGUGGUUUAGAUGACCACACCACAAAUUCAUGCUGAUGGAGAGCACAUGAAUGUUUGCAGCAGCAGAUUGUCCCGCACAUCUUCACCCACUCCUGCUCCAAGGAUGAGGGGUUCAGGGGUCCAUCAUCAUCAUCAUCAUCAUCAUCAUCAUCAUCAUCAUCUUCCUCAUUCUCUGGAUCACUGAUGUCUCCAUUGAGAAGAGCAGCAGUGAGGGACAUGAUGAUGAAGGUGUUCAUCAGCUGCUUGAUCAGAAUAAAGCUGCAGAAUUGGCACAGCCGUGUUGAGAUGACAGCAGGGCUGUAAAUACGUGAUUGUUAGAUCAAUACAUUUGAAUAAAGCUUUGUUUUGUGUGUUGUUGACUUGUAUAUGCAUUUAUUUGUCAUUAUUACUUUUAUUAAUUCUUUACUUAUUUAUUAAUUAUGCUAUCAGUAAAUGUAUAUAUUUUAUUAAGCAAUGAAUUAAUGCAUGAAUUGACUGUAAAUGGAGAUGUAUUCACAUCAGCUGUAUUUGUCUAGUGUGUGUUCAUGCACAGCUGUCAUAUGACAAAACAUUACAUUUUGCUUGUUUUACUAAAGAAGUAAAAUGAAAAGUAAUAUAAUUAAGUUUUGGUCAG